rnacentral:misc_RNA from 1 species
AAGUCGUAACAAGGUUUCCGUAGGUGAACCUGCGGAAGGAUCAUUAAUGAAUUUACUUGGGGGUUGAUGCUGGCUUUGCUGCAUGUGCUCGCCCUCAUAAUUCUUAUCCCAUACACCUGUGCACAUCUUGAAGGUUCGAGGAAUGCCUUUUAUGGGUUGAUCUCGCCUUCAUUCUUACAAACUCUAUCUCUAAUAAUCGAACGUGAUUGUGCCGAAAGGCCAUAAACUUAUACAACUUUUAACAACGGAUCUCUUGGCUCUC